rnacentral:rRNA from 1 species
AUGACGAGAGUGAAGAAUAGUUACUAUGUACUUCCAGGAGAACCUGAACCGAAGCGCACCGUGUCAAACACUCACAACAUUGGGAAGGUAAUGCUCCUAACAGCUGUUGCCAGGCCUUGAUAUAACAAUGAGGGGGAGCUAACAUUCGAUGGGAAGAUCGGAAUUUGGGCAUUCGUCGAAGAGACUGAGGCGAAGCGGACAAGUCAGAACAGAACAAAGGGAACCAAAGUGUUGACAUCAGUGAAAGUAACCAGGCCUGUGUGCAGAGAUUAUCUAAUCAAUAAGGUUAUCCCGGCAAUUCAGGAUAAGUGGCCUGACGAUGAUGAGGCAGCAACAAUAUGCAUCCAAUAG